rnacentral:rRNA from 1 species
UACGUAGGGUCCAAGCGUUGUCCGGAUUUAUUGGGCGUAAAGAGCUCGUAGGCGGUUUCGUAAGUCGGAUGUGAAAACUCAGGGCUCAACCCGGAGACGCCAUCUGAUACUGCGAUGACUUGAGUCUGGUAGGGGAACACGGAAUUCCUGGUGUAGCGGUGAAAUGCGCAGAUAUCAGGAGGAACGCCGAUGGCGAAGGCAGUGUUCUGGGCCAGUACUGACGCUGAGGAGCGAAAGCGUGGGGAGCAAACAGG